rnacentral:rRNA from 1 species
GCAACCUGCCUGUAAGCGGGGAAUAACCCGUUGAAAGACGGACUAAUACCGCAUAAUACUAAAUUACUGCAUGGGUAAUUAUUUAAACAUUUAUGGCUUACAGAUGGGCAUGCGCAUGAUUAGCUAGUUGGAGAGGUAACGGCUCCCAAGGCAACGAUCAUUAGGGUUCUGAGAGGAAGGUCCCCACACUGGUACUGAGACACGGACCAGACUCCUACGGGAGGCAGCAGUGAGGAAUAUUGGUCAAUGGACGAGAGUCUGAACCAGCCAAGUCGCGUGCAGGAAGAAUGUCCUAAUGGAUUGUAAACUGCUUUUGCAGGGGAAUAAAGUGCAUCACGUGUGAUGUUUUGUAUGUACUCUGCGAAUAAGGAUCGGCUAACUCCGUGCCAGCCGCAGC